rnacentral:rRNA from 1 species
UGGGGAAUAUUGGGCAAUGGGCGCAAGCCUGACCCAGCAACGCCGCGUGAAGUAAGAAGGCUUUCGGGUUGUAAACUUCUUUUGUCUGGGACGAAACAAAUGACGGUACCCGACGAAUAAGCCACGGCUAACUACGUGCCAGCAGCCGCGGUAAUACGUAGGUGGCAAGCGUUAUCCGGAUUUACUGGGUGUAAAGGGCGUGUAGGCGGGAUUGCAAGUCAGAUGUGAAAACUGGGGGCUCAACCUCCAGCCUGCAUUUGAAACUGUAGUUCUUGAGGGCUGGAGAGGCAAUCGGAAUUCCGUGUGUAGCGGUGAAAUGCGUAGAUAUACGGAGGAACACCAGUGGCGAAGGCGGAUUGCUGGACAGUAACUGACGCUGAGGCGCGAAAGCGUGGGGAGCAAACAGG